rnacentral:rRNA from 1 species
GGACCAAGGAGUCUAGCAUGUGCGCGAGUCAUUGGGACUCUAACGAAACCUAAAGGCGCAAUGAAAGUGAAGGCCCGCCUAGCGCGGGCCGAGGGAAGAUGGGCCGCCUCAAGUGGGCGGCUCCGCACUCCCCGGGCGUCUCAUUCUCAUCGCGAGAAGAGGCGCACCUAGAGCGUACACGCUGGGACCCGAAAGAUGGUGAACUAUGCCUGGUCAGGACGAAGUCAGGGGAAACCCUGAUGGAGGUCCGUAGCGAUUCUGACGUGCAAAUCGAUCGUCGGAACUGGGUAUAGGGGCGAAAGACUAAUCGAACCAUCUAGUAGCUGGUUCCCUCCGAAGUUUCCCUCAGGAUAGCUGGCGCUCGUUGCUCGCGAGUCUCAUUCGGUAAAGCGAAUGAUUAGAGGCAUUGGGGUCGAAACGGCCUCAACCUAUUCUCAAACUUUAAAUGGGUGAGAUCUCCGGCUUGCUUGAACUGUGAAGCCGCGAGAUAUCGGAUCAGAGUGCCAAGUGGGCCACUUUUGGUAAGCAGAACUGGCGCUGUGGGAUGAACCAAACGCCGAGUUAAAGCGCCUAAAUCGACGCUUAUGGGAUACCAUGAAAGGCGUUGGUAACUUAAGACAGCAGGACGGUGGCCAUGGAAGUCGGA